rnacentral:rRNA from 1 species
GAUGAACGCUGGCGGCGUGCUUAACACAUGCAAGUCGAACGAAGCAUUUGCGACAGAUUUUUUCGGAAUGAAGUUGCUUAUGACUGAGUGGCGGACGGGUGAGUAACGCGUGGGUAACCUGCCUUGUACUGGGGGAUAGCAGCUGGAAACGGCUGGUAAUACCGCAUAAGCGCACAAUGUUGCAUGACAUGGUAUGAAAAACUCCGGUGGUAUAAGAUGGACCCGCGUCUGAUUAGCUAGUUGGUGAGAUAACAGCCCACCAAGGCGACGAUCAGUAGCCGACCGGAGAGGGUGACCGGCCACAUUGGGACUGAGACACGGCCCAGACUCCUACGGGAGGCAGCAGUGGGGAAUAUUGCACAAUGGAGGAAACUCUGAUGCAGCGACGCCGCGUGAGUGAAGAAGUAAUUCGUUAUGUAAAGCUCUAUCAGCAGGGAAGAUAGUGACGGUACCUGACUAAGAAGCUCCGGCUAAAUACGUG